rnacentral:rRNA from 1 species
CUACGGGCCGCUGCAGUGAGGAAUAUUGCACAAUGGGGGAAACCCUGAUGCAGCAACGCCGCGUGGAGGAUGACGCAUUUCGGUGUGUAAACUCCUUUUAUAUGUCAAGAAAAUGACGGUAGCAUAUGAAUAAGCACCGGCUAACUCCGUGCCAGCAGCCGCGGUAAUACGGAGGGUGCAAGCGUUACUCGGAAUCACUGGGCGUAAAGGACACGUAGGCUGGUUGGUAAGUCAGGUGUGAAAUCCUACAGCUUAACUGUAGAACUGCACUUGAAACUACCAACCUAGAGUAUGGGAGGGGGAGAUGGAAUUAGUGGUGUAGGGGUAAAAUCCGUAGAUACCACUAGGAAUACCGAAAGCGAAGGCGAUCUCCUGGAACAUAACUGACGCUAAGGCGUGAAAGCGUGGGGAGCAAACAGGAUUAGAUACCCUCGUAGUC